rnacentral:rRNA from 1 species
AUUCCAGCUCCAAUAGCGUAUAUUAAUGUUGUUGCAGUUAAAAAGCUCGUAGUUGGAUCUCUAACGCACGCGGCCGGUCCGCCCCUCACGGGGUGUGCACUGCGCCGUCGUGCGUUAUCCUGGGGGAGAGCGUCCCGCGCAUUAGGUUGUGUGGGUCGGGAUCCUCCACGUUUACUCAAAAUAAAUAAGAGUGUUCAAAGCAGGCGAUUGCUGUGAAUUCUUCAGUUGGGAAUAAUAAGAUAGGACUCGGGGACUAUUUUGUUGGUUUGCAUCUCCGAGUAAUGAUUAAUAGGGACAGUUGGAGAUAUUCAUAUUCAGUUGUCAGAGGUGAAAUUCUUGGAUUUACGGAAGAUGAACUACUGCGAAAGCAUUUAUCGAGGAUGUUUUCAUCA